CCAGGGUCCCUGGCGUCUGGCCCCGGUAAGUGGAUAACCGCGCGGGCCAGCCCACCCAUCCCCAUCUUUCUCCUGGCGGCGCACGACGAACAGAGGGCUCUGUUCUUCGCCCCUUCUCUCCCUCCCACCACCACCCCCCUUGAUCUACUCCAUCAACCCCUCAAACUCACAGAUCGGACCCCCCCAAGCUUCUUUGAGGAUGGCGGAUGGUGAUGGACCUUGGUAUGACGGAUUAAUCGAUGAGUGGGAUAAGGAGCAUCGUGCUCGUGCCAUUGAAAAUGGACAGGUUGUAGUUGCUAUGCGCAUGAGGGGUCAUUCCGCUGAUGACUUUGAUUACGACCCGCGGUAUGAGCCUUACAUUCGGAGAUUGGGUCUUCUCCCAUUCGUGUUGCAGUUUAAGC